GGAUUGUGGCUUAGUGGUAGAGUGCUUGCCCAGCAAGUGUGAGGCACUGCGUUCGAUCCUCAGCACCA
rnacentral:tRNA from 1 species